CCAAUGGAUUUUAUUUUGUACCUUUAAAAACAUUUUGAGAAGAGGUCCAUAGGCUUUGGCAGGCUGCCAAAGGGGUCCACAAAUGUCAAGACUCCCUGGUUACACCAUACCUUCUGAUGCUUUGAUUAUUGGUUAAGUUUCCAUUGGGGCUCGGUACUGAUCAGAGCCGAAUGGGAGAAAGUGGGCAUGGAUUGCCACCUUUAAAAGUUUCAGAAAAGACUCUGAUGGCGCAAAGUGAGAUCUGCCUACUAGUUGCUGGAAGGCAGAACUGUGAGAUUGAGCCAGGGCUUUGGAAUGUUGGUAAAGUUUUUUGGUACUUGUGUCUGAAAUAAGAGAAUAAAGGCAGUAGAUGGUUUUACCCCUGCCUACAGCUCCAGCCUCGUUGCUCCUUGCCGCUGUGCCCCCAGCCAUUUUUGCUGUCUUUCAGUGUCCAGGAAGCUUCCUCCUGCAUUAGGAGGUCUAUACAUGCUGUUAUCUUUGCUGGACUUUCCUCCCAUCUCUUCAUCUAGGUAAGUACACUCUCCCUCCAUAUCUGAUUAUCUGCCCCUGAUCCUCCAGACUAGGUCAGGCUCCUUGAUAAUCCUCAUGUAGACCCAUCCUCAUCUCUUUCACAGCCCUUUCUCAGUUUGUAACUAUGUGGUCCUUGGGGUGACUCUUUAGUUCACUGCUUGUCACUGCACCAGAUUAUAAAUCCCCCAAUGGCAAGGAAGGCUUGCUUUUAUUGUCUGCAGUAUCCCCAGUGCCUGACCAAGGGCUUGUGGUAAAUAUUUAUUGAUAAAGAGUGAAUUUUAAUUGGAAAAUUCAUAAUGGGACUGUGAAUGCUAGCAGAAUGGAUUUAGGUCCACAAAAAAUAAAGUCGUAUGGCCUCCCCCCACUGGUGACACCCCAUCUACCACCAAGCAUCCUCCACACUCCUAGUAGUUCUGCAUACACCACUAACACAGAGAUCUUCGGGCUAGCACAGUAGAAACAGUACAGCAAAACUGACAGGCUGGGGAGAGAGAUGACCUGUGGUCAGAUCCUGGCCUUGAUGCUUUCUUCCUGGGUGAUCUCAGCCUCUUUGUGCCUCAGUCUCUCCAUCUAUAUAAAAUAGUGAAAAUAAUAGUACCUCUGGCAUAGAAUGUUUAGGAAUGCUAAUGAAGCCACAUAAAUAAAACACCUAACACGUAAGUACUGAUCAAAUGGUAGCUUAAAGGAAAAGAGACAACUUUUAUCCAUCAGAGCCUGAUGGAUAAUCCACUCCUGCUACCCUCUUGAGAAACACUGGAUUUAGAAAGAGAAUUUCACAGAAUAUAUUAGUGAAUAUCUUCAGUAAAUAAUAUAUUCAGCUCAGUAAAUAUCAGUUGUGGUUAUUUCUCUAUUAGAAAAUAGUGAAUUGUCCUAAAAGCACAAGCCUAGCUCUUAAAGGCUUUCAAGAAAUGUGCAUUGAGAAGUUGAAUGAAAGAGCAGAUGGGCUACUGAAUGCUUAUUUUCCUUUUCCAGGCCCAACUUGGCUUUGCAGUACUUGACUGCCCUCAGUUCUACAUAGUUGCCACUAGAGGGCAGGCGCGGUUAAGACAACAAUACUCUGGACCCACCAGCGCCAUAAUUACUGGCUGGAACUCACAUCACAGCUGCCCUAUUUACUUACCUACCGGCUGCAUUCCUUAGAACCAGUUUUUUUCCUGUUCAAAUGGAAACCAGGCAGAAUUGGGAAAAUAUUUCUUCAGCCAGCUCCUCAGCACUGCUGUCUGAGGGAGACCAUCUGACCCAGAUGCCCUUCAAAGCCCGUGAGCCACAACUACUGAGCCCGCAUGCUGCAACUACUGAAGCCCACAUGCC